UGCAAAAUGAUGGCAUAUCUGAAUAGCUUAACACAUCUGGGUGACACAUAUAGUGACAAUAAGCCUGUAAAUGAAGGAAGUUAACAAAUAAGCAGCUGGGUUCAGUGGGUUUAGUAUCACUGAUGAAGCUGCCAGAUCAGAAGAGUGGCUGCAGUUCUGUAGAAGAAGAAUGAAACCGAUGGCGAAGCUUUCAGUUCACCAACUCGUCGAUGUUUCAAACUUCACCUUCACCUGAGCUUCAGGUGGCGACUGGAAGCAUCAAAUCUUUUCUCUUUCACCUUCACUGACUUCUUCUUCUUCUUCUUCUUCUUCUUCUUCUACCUCUGGAGGGAGCGGAGGGGCCUCCUGGCGAUGCUCGUCAUUAAGAAAACAGUGUUUCUCUCUGCAAGGUGCUGGGCAAACACAGGCCGCGCCAAAUAAGAAAAUAUCGCUUCUCUCCAAGGCAAUUUCCUUCAGCAGAGUUUUCCUCGAAUGUUGUUGGCAUCUUCUGUGAACGGUGAGGAAGAAAGAGAGAGAAAGACGCUUUUCUAAAAAAUGAUUUAUGGUGACGGGAAAGUCUGAUCGACGGUUGUUAUCAGUACAGAGACAAAGAGACGAAAGAAGAUUGGCUCGUUACUUUGACAGACUGCAGAUGUUUUCACAUUUGAAAAGUUCUUUGUUUGAACAUUUGUGUUUCUGUUUCGGGGUAGGAGUGAAUUACAGCUCCCAAGGUGCAUUUCAGCAAGAAACAGCCAAUCAUAGAGCUGAAAAUUCAGUCACAUGGGUCGCUAAUGGUGCAGUGGAGAGAUGACAGGAACUGAAGGGAGAUCGUGAUGAUGGGGGGUGACACGCAACAAAGAUCUAGAUUGUGGACGUUGCGGUAUUAUGGCAUGCUGGUGAUCAUAAUAUAAACCUGCAGGAUCGUCACAGUAUCCUGUCCUGAGUCCUGAGUUUCUGUGUUCAGUAACAUCGAAGAGAUCAUUUAAGUUUUGAAAUGAGAAUACAGAAUGAGGAAAAACACUUCUGCUCACACUUUGCAGCUCUAUAAACCUGGACUUUUGCCAGUUUGGUUGGUUGCUAUGACAACAGCUCCAGAUAAAUUUGAAGCCAUCCAUAAAGAACUGAAAAGUCCAAAUCAUCAACAAUCGACUCAGGCUAACUCAGGUAUCCAUGUGUGGAGAACACAAGGCCCAGGAUGGUUCACCUUCAGUCUACUCUCUGCUCUGAUGACUUCCAGCCUCCUUUCCCGAGAGAGUAAUUAAGCACGUAAAGUGGAUGGAUCAAUUUGGAAUCCAACAACAGACUUUCCAAUAACAACGGGUCUAAAAUGGUUGUUGAGUCUUGUGCUAAAUUUACCCGCGCUGGAGCGCAGUGUGAACAUGUCUGUGACUGCACAAACAACUGCUAAGAUCUGAACUGAGGAAUGCUCAUAAUGGGGCAUUUUACCUGAUUGUUGCUAAGCCACGCUGCCAAACACACACCAUUAUCACGGGCCACCCGGCCAAGCACACACACUCAAACACACACACACACACACACUCCCACACACUGCAUCCUUGCAGACAGAUGUUCAGGUUCGGGUUGGCUGUAUUAUUCCCAGGGGACUCCCAUGAUGCCUUGCACCUGCUUGUGAAUACAGUCAGGUUGACUUCCUGGUCAUCAAUCUUCACCAGCCACCCUUUGCCCUCACCAUGGCAACAGAGGAGCCAAGACCACCGGAGUAACUCAGAGUUAUUACAGAGGGUAGACUCUCUAACCUGCUGCCAGGUUACAUAAAAGCCAGGCCAACACAUAACCGCCGUCUUUGUUUGGAGGUGCCGGAGCUGCAGGAGCCCUGAGCACCCUGAGGUGUUUACUGGAGGCGGCAGCUGCACGAGAGACGCCCGAAGAAAGGAGCUCUUUCACCUGGAGGCUGAGAGAGAGAGAGGAGGAGAGAGGGGAGAGAGGUCUGACAGAAAGACAGAAAGAAAGAAAGA